GAGUAAGACGUGGUACGUACGCCUACUACAGGAGGGAUAACAACCAGAAAUGGUUGCUAAUACCGCAUAAGCGCACGGGACCGCAUGGUCCAGUGUGAAAAACUCCGGUGGUAUAGGAUGGACCCGCGUUGGAUUAGCUAGUUGGUGGGGUAACGGCCCACCAAGGCGACGAUCCAUAGCCGGCCUGAGAGGGUGAACGGCCACAUUGGGACUGAGACACGGCCCAG
rnacentral:rRNA from 1 species